rnacentral:sRNA from 1 species
AGCAAUUGAUGAUAUGAACCUGAAUUCACAUAUUGAAAAGGGUGUCAUUUAAGUCAUGGACCUUUUUCAAUGUGUGAAUUUUUUGUUUCGAUACGAAAUAGGCGCAUAUUAAUACAUUUUUGGAGGUAAUACACAUGCAACAAGGUACAGUUAAAUGGUUCAACGCUGAGAAAGGUUUCGGCUUCAUCGAAGUUGAAGGCGGCAAUGACGUAUUCGUACACUUCUCCGCAAUCGUUGGCGAAGGCUUCAAGACUCUUGAAGAAGGCCAACGCGUUGAGUUCAACGUUGUUCAAGGCAACCGCGGACCACAAGCUGAGAACGUUGUUAAGCUGUAAUAGCUUAAUUUAACGAACGAAGACCGCCCUUAACGGGGCGGUUUUUUUG